GUCGUAUUUGGCGCUGCUGCUGCCCGAAAAACGUCCCCAUUGCGAUCAAUGGGAGUGUCGCAUCCCUGGCGCCGUGGCCGUGCAGCGCUGAGCGGAAGGCUUUGUUGUCCAAACAUCCGGAGACUUCCGACGUGAUCAUGUCGCGGGGAGCACGGUGUUACGUCCCUGGCUGUGCAAAAACUUCGGUUGCUAACCCAGAAGUGCUGUUUCACGAGCCGAGGGACAGCGACACGAAACGAAGGUGGGAGGCAGCAAUCGCCAGUGCACAACCUGGUAUACAAAAAAGCCUUAAUGUCCUGCGUGUCUGUUCUUCCCAUUUUGCGGACGAUGCGUAUUUGGAAGGCGACAUUCUACGGAUCCGCUUUGGGAUACCUCUGAAAAGAAAGCGACUAAAGAUUGGCGCCGUGCCCACAGUAUUUCCGGCACAAAGGGAACUAUCCGACGUGCCGUCUGCCCAGUGCGACAUCUCACUGUCGUGAGCGCGACCUACUAGCCCCGUGCACUUCGCCAGGGGGCAGCUCGACGCUCUGCCUUGGUCGCCACUCAGCGGCGGAACAGUUCGCAGCUGGGUUUCAUCGGGGAGCUUCACUGCAGAGAGUGGCACGCAAACAUGCUUCCUCAGGCGAAGUAGGGCAAGCCAGACAACAGUGAGCCUUCCGCCAUCUAGUAUGCUUUCGUUCACAUUGUCUGAACUGGAAACAGAGUUUCCAGAAGGCAGCUAGAGUGGAAGUGCAGAGCUGCUGUCUCCAGUACAGGUUCCCCUGCAACUUGUGGGUUUGCCAAGGUCUGACAGUCUUCCACUGAGAGACAGGUGUGACGGAUCCAGCUCCCAUAUCUGGCGCUCUGCUCCAGUACUGGGGGACAUCACAGCUGAAUUCAUCAUACCCGUAAUACAGCAGCUCCUGUUGGUCAGCAUUGGUGAAAGUGAAGGCUGCAGAGUGGCAACUUUUGAGUCUAGGCAGACCACUCUGAGGUAGCAGCACUCAGAACUAAGCACUUGUGCGACGAACGCGAAGUGCACAUACAACAUUGCGAAGGCGCACUCAGCAGGACGGUGGACACGAGCAUUGCGGAACCAGCGUCAGCAAACAGAGAAGUGCCAAACCAGGACUUACCGGAGCAGGGCCCAGCAAGCAUGAUCAGCAUCUACACAUGACCUGCUGCAAAGGAAUGUGCGAAAGAGUGAAUUGGAGCAGCAAGCUUGCAAGAGCAAGCUAGAGCCGCGGAACUUGCUGAGCAUUUGCAGCACUGAGAGAUGUAUGCCAUCAGCUGUUAGAUAGUUUUAGCAACCUCACUGAUAUGAUGAAGCAAACUGAACAAAUGAAGCCAAUACUGCUACUGAAUGAACUGAUGCAAAUUGAGAUACUCUUACGUAUAUUGCUCUAGCUGCAUUGGUCUUCAAUGUAGUUAAUGACACCCUAACAUUGUGGCAUACCUCAAAGUCCCCGGGGACAGAGGAAUAAGUAGUAGGGAAUAAAAGUUAAUAGCCAAGGGUUUUUCUAAUCUAAGAGAAGCCCAUUCAAAUCAAAUUCUAACCCAAUUCUAUGCCAAAACUCAGUUGUAAUCCAACACAAUCCAAUUCUAAUUCAUCUGAUUGGUCGCCAUUAGCUCCGCCCACUUCACGUUGAUUGACCCAUACGCCUACUGAUCGUUGACUGGUUGACCAUAGCUCCGCCCCUUUAUGCUAAUUAGUUGGCUCGGCUCCGCCCACUUCACACUUGCCCAUGCUAAGCCUAGUGAUCGAUGAUUGGUUGACCAUAGCUCCGCCCCUCUAAGCGAAUUACUUGGUUCUGCCCACCUCACGCUGAUUGGUGCAUGCUAAGCCUGCUGAUUGGUGAGCAUAGCUCCGCCCCUUUAUGCUAAUUAACCGGCUCUGCUUCACGCUGAUUGGUCCAUUCUAAGCCUAC